UGUUCUGUGGCUUAGUUGGUUAAAGCAUCGCACUAGCAAUUCGGAGUCGUGGGUUCGAAUCUCACCAGAACAA
rnacentral:tRNA from 1 species